rnacentral:lncRNA from 1 species
AUGGCGGCUGCCAAGGUGGCUUUAACUGAGAGAGCAGAUCCAACUGAGCUUAUAACAAUAUUUUUGAAGUAUGCAAGCAUUGAGAAAAAUGGUGAAUUUUUCAUGUCUCCCAGUGACUUUAUCACUCCAUACUUGAACAUUUCUGGAGAAAGCCAGCCUAACCCAAAGACUGUGGAACUUUUAAGUGGGGUGGUGGGUCAGACCAAAGAUGGGGAAUGUGUGGCCUUUUGAUUGGUCCUGGGUGCCCCUGAUACUUUGUUUAUGGUAGCCUUUCAGCUAGCUGUUUGACAAAGCUGGCAAAGGAGAAGUAACUUUU